rnacentral:rRNA from 1 species
AGAGUUUGAUCAUGGCUCAAGAUGAACGCUGGCGGUGCGCCUAACACAUGCAAGUCGAACGAAGGAUUGUGAAGGAACUUUACGGAGGGAAAACACAAUGACUGAGUGGCGGACGGGUGAGUAACGCGUAGGGAACCUGGCCCUUACAGGGGGAUAACAGAUGGAAACAACUGCUAAUACCGCAUAAGCGCCCAGCCUCGCAUGAGGCAGAGUGAAAAACUAAGGUGGUAAGGGAUGGCCCUGCGUCCGAUUAGCUAGUUGGUAUGGUAACGGCAUACCAAGGCGACGAUCGGUAGCCGGCCUGAGAGGGUGGACGGCCACAUUGGGACUGAGACACGGCCCAAACUCCUACGGGAGGCAGCAGUGGGGGAUAUUGCACAAUGGGGGAAACCCUGAUGCAGCGACACCGCGUGGGUGAAGAAGCGCUUCGGCGUGUAAAGCCCUAUCAGUGGGGAAGAAAAAGGACGGUACCCAAAGAAGAAGCACCGGCUAAAUACGUGCCAGCAGCCGCGGUAAUACGUAUGGUGCAAGCGUUAUCCGGAAUGACUGGGUGUAAAGGGAGCGUAGACGGUUGUACAAGUCUGAUGUGAAAGCCCACGGCUCAACUGUGGGAGUGCAUUGGAAACUGUAAAACUAGAGUAUCGGAGAGGCAAGUGGAAUUCCUAGUGU